rnacentral:rRNA from 1 species
GAUGAACGCUAGCGGGAGGCCUAACACAUGCAAGCCGAGCGGUAGAGUCUCUUCGGAGACUUGAGAGCGGCGCACGGGUGCGGAACACGUGUGCAACCUGCCUUUAUCUGGGGGAUAGCCUUUCGAAAGGAAGAUUAAUACCCCAUAAUAUACUGGAUGGCAUCAUCUGGUACUGAAAACUCCGGUGGCUAGAGAUGGGCACGCGCAAGAUUAGAUAGUUGGUGAGGUAACGGCUCACCAAGUCAGCGAUCUUUAGGGGGCCUGAGAGGGUGAUCCCCCACACUGGUACUGAGACACGGACCAGACUCCUACGGGAGGCAGCAGUGAGGAAUAUUGGACAAUGGGUGAGAGCCUGAUCCAGCCAUCCCGCGUGAAGGACGACGGCCCUAUGGGUUGUAAACUUCUUUUGUAUAGGGAUAAACCUAGAUACGUGUAUCUAGCUGAAGGUACUAUACGAAUAAGCACCGGCUAACUCCGUG